AAUGUCUCAACUUAAGUUCGGUGACUCAAGUUUCCUGUUUGGACAGUGCUGUCAACGAGAGGGCACGAGAAGGGAAAGCUGUAGGUAUUAUCAAUUGCCCUUAAGUGAUUCUGCAAAGGCAGGAAAGCCAGAAGACCCGGCCUCGGAUAGACCUGCAUUGGGUAUAGCUUCCUUCUCUAAGGGCCUGCAUUAAGUUAAAAUAGUUUUGACAGCAUCUUUAACUGAACAUCUUUGUCUCCAAACAUAAUUAGUGUUUAAAGCGGAAGGCAUCAAAGUCCAGGUUUUGUGGCUUAGACAGCAGCUCCAUCUGGUGCUUACUGGAGGUGUGUGCUCCUUUCAUCUCCGGGUUCCAAGCAGCAUAGAUACAGAUGUGCACAGGCCUUUCAAAGGAACGGCCACACUAAAACUGGCUUCUAGCGAUGACGUGAGUUAACUGGUCUUGAUGAACCUCAUUUGGCAGUUUUGUUAAUGUGGUUGUUGCUGAUCAAUUCAAAAGCCAUCAUUUGGUUUAACUAACAUACUCAGAUGGAAAUAAUUUUUCAUAUUUAUUAAUCUUGGAGAAAAAUAAAGCACAUACUACUUACAAAGAAAACCUGUAGUACCUUACGAGGAAUAGGUCAGCUUGGUUAACAAGCUAUUAGGCAGGAUGUCUUCCUCUUUUCUGUUCAGUGUCAUAUGAUGCUUAGUAUACAGGAUGUGGUUUUUAAAAAAGAAAACUUGCUGACUCGAAGGAAAUGCCUCAAGUUGCUAGUAGAAAUUAAUUCUGAAUAAUAGGUUUACACAAUUUUUCUGCAUUCAUUGUAUUCCAUGUUUGCAUUGGGGUUUUUUAUUUCUUCAAGAAGACUAUACUACAAAAAAGGGGCAAGGCUAACAAAAGUAAAUUAGCAAUUUUAAACAUAUGCUAGGCCCAGCAAAUGGCUAAGCAGGUAAAUUUGCUUAUGCUAAGCCUAACAACUUGAUACAGUCACUGGAACCUGCAUGGGUGAGAAGAAAAACUGACUUCUGCAGGUUAUCCUCUGACCUCCGCAGACAUAAACACAUACAUCAAAUAAAUACAUUUUGUAGACGAAACAUACAUAGUAUAGCCCUAGUCUCAGUUCUGGUCUCACAUUUACUGUAAAUGUAGGAGAAUUACUUUCUUUUCUGGUCUUCAGAACCCCUGGUUCAUCAAACAACAGAAACAAAAUGAGAGCUUCGUCAGUUUUAACAUUCUCAGAUUUGAAUUGUGCUCUCUUUCCCUGCCUUUUCUGCCUCUCUUAUUCUUCUCUGUCUUCCCCCCACUAUCACCAUACAACAUUAUCUACUUUCUCCUAUAUUAAAAUCAAGAAGUCCUUUUUGAAUCUAACUCUUCCUACCCAAAUCUUUUCCAAAGAGUCAUCUGCCAGUGUCCUGCCACUUUGCUGUCCAGCCCACCAGUCUGAAUUCCAUCCUCACUGCUACACCAGAACACAGAGAGGCCAGCCUACGCUUGUUCUGCCAAGUGUACUGGGACACAUAGGCCCUCAUUUCCCAGUACCCCUGAGCAGCAUAGGAAAUAGCUGUCUGCUCUUCUGGCGUCCGCCUCAUCGU
rnacentral:lncRNA from 1 species